CGGGACGGGUGAGUAACGCGUGGGUAACCUGCCUUAUACAGGGGGAGUAACAGUCAGAAAUGGCUGCUAAUACCGCAUAAGCGCACAGAGCUGCAUGGCUCAGUGUGAAAAACUCCGGUGGUAUAAGAUGGACCCGCGUUGGAUUAGCUUGUUGGCAGGGUAACGGCCUACCAAGGCGACGAUCCAUAGCCGGCCUGAGAGGGUGAACGGCCACAUUGGGACUGAGACACGGCCCAGACUCCUACGGGAGGCAGCAUG
rnacentral:rRNA from 1 species